rnacentral:rRNA from 1 species
GAGUUUGAUCAUGGCUCAGGAUGAACGCUGGCGGUAUGCCUAACACAUGCAAGUCGUACGAGAGUUUUUAACUCUAGUGGCGGACGGGUGAGUAACACGUGAGAAUCUGCCUUUAGGAGGGGGAUAACAACUGGAAACGGUUGCUAAUACCCCAUAUGCUUUCGAGUGAAAUGGAUUUAUCCGCCUAGAGAGGAGCUCGCGGCUGAUUAGCUUGUUGGUAGGGUAAUGGCCUACCAAGGCGACGAUCAGUAUCUGGUUUGAGAGGACGAUCAGACACACUGGAACUGGGACACGGUCCAGACUCCUACGGGAGGCAGCAGUGGGGAAUUUUCCGCAAUGGGCGAAAGCCUGACGGAGCAAUACCGCGUGAGGGGAGACGGCCUAUGGGUUGUAAACCUCUUUUCUCAGGGAGGAACUCAAUGACGUGUACCUGAGGAAUAAGCAUCGGCUAAUUCCGUGCCAGCAGCCGCGGUAAGACGGAGGAUGCAAGUGUUAUCCGGAAUCACUGGGCGUAAAGCGUCUGUAGGUGGUUUAAUAAGUCAACUGUUAAAUCUUGAAGCUCAACUUCAAAAUCGCAGUCGAAACUAUUAGACUAGAGUAUAGUAGGGGUAAAGGGAAUUUCC